GGCUCAGGAUUAACGCUGGCGGCGUGCCUAAUACAUGCAAGUCGAAUGGUAGCAAUACCAUGGCGAACGGGUGAGUAACACGUAGGUAACCUGUCUUUAAGCCGAGGAUAACCAUUGGAAACGAUGGAUAAUACUGGAUAGGACAUUUGAAGGCAUCUUUAGAUGUUUAAAGAUUUAUCACUUAGAGAGAGGCCUGCGGCGCAUUAGCUAGUUGGUGAGGUGAAGGCUUACCAAGGCGAUGAUGCGUAGCCGGACUGAGAGGUUGAACGGCCACAAUGGAACUGAGAACGGUCCAUACUCCUACGGGAGGCAGCAGUAGGGAAUUUUCGGCAAUGGGCGGAAGCCUGACCGAGCAACGCCGCGUGAACGAAGAAGUAUUUCGGUAUGUAAAGUUCUUUUAUUAGGGACGAAAAGACAGAUUGACGGUACCUAAUGAAUAAGCUCCGGCUAACUACGUGCCAGCCGCCGC
rnacentral:rRNA from 1 species